rnacentral:rRNA from 1 species
UCUGCCCUAAGGUACGGGAUAAUCUCGGGAAACUGAGGAUAAUACCGUAUAUGUCUGGUAUGCUGGAACGCUUCCAGACGCAAAGGUGACGCCUUAGGAUGAGUCUGCGGCCUAUCAGGUUGUAGUGGGUGUAACGCACUUACUAGCCUUCGACGGGUACGGGCUUUGGGAGAAGUUGCCCGGAGAUGGAUUCUGAGACAUGAAUCCAGGCCCUAAGGGGCGCAGCAGUUACGAAAACUUGCCAAUGGGGGAAACCCCGAGCAGGGAACUCCAAGUGCCUGCACUAUGUGCAUGCUGUUCCCCCGUCUUAAAAACCGGGGAAGUAAGGGCUGGGAAAGUCGGGUGCCAGCCGCCGCGGUAAUACCCGCAGCCCGAGUAGUGGUCACUAUUACUGAGCCUAAAGCGUCCGCAGCCGGACCUGUAAAUCCUUGGGUAAAUCGAACGGCUAAAACCGUUCGAAGUCCGGGGAGACUGUAGGUCUUGGAACCGGGAGAGGCAAGAGGUACUCUGGGGGUAGGGGUAAUAUCCUGUAAUCCUCGGAGGACCACCAGUGGCGAAGGCGUCUUGCUUGAACGGAUUCGACGGUGAGGGACGAAGCCCUAGGGCGCAAACGGGAUUAGAUACCCCGGUAGUCUAGGGUGUAAACGCUGCGGGCUUUCGCUUAGAGUGUUUACCUUCGCGGAUGCCCGGUGCCGGAGAGAAGUUGUUAAGCUAGGCCCACUUGUACGGUCGCAAGACUGAAACUUCAAGGGCCCUAAGGAGCACCGCAACGGGAGGAGCGAGCGGUUCAAUUGGAUUCAACAGCCGG